CCAAGUCUGCCUCAGUACGGCGAGUGAAGCGGCAAAAGCUCAAAUUUGAAACCCUCGGGAUUGUAAUUUGAAGAUUUGGCAUUGGAGAAAGCUAACCCAAGUUGCUUGGAAUAGUACGUCAUAGAGGGUGACAACCCCGUCUGGCUAACCGUUCUCCAUGUAUUGCCUUAUCAAAGAGUCGAGUUGUUUGGGAAUGCAGCUCAAAGUGGGUGGUAAACUCCAUCUAAAGCUAAAUACUGGUGAGAGACCGAUAGCGAACAAGUACUGUGAAGGAAAGGUGAAAAGAACUUUGAAAAGAGAGUGAAAUAGUAUGUGAAAUUGUUGAUAGGGAAGGAAAUGAGUGGAGAGUGGCCGAGGUUUCAGCCGCCCCUCGUGGGCGGUGUACUGCCGACGCCGAGUCAUCGAUAGCGAGACGAGGGUUACAAAUGGGAGCGCCUUCGGGCGUUCUCCCCUAACCCUCCACACUGCCACCGACGACAUAAUCCACCCAUUUCACCCGUCUAA
rnacentral:rRNA from 1 species